AGAGACACACACACACACACACACACACACACACACAGAACCAACGCGUCGUCGCUUUGAUCCAGCUUGAUCUUUACAUUCACUCUUGGAUAACUGGACAAAGUGAUAAACUGGUUAGUUAUGUUUCCUAGUCUCUGGUUAACUCUCCCGUACUCACAUUUCUGAAGAAAUCCAAAUGUUCCGCGGCUGCAGAACUGCAACUGAUCCAACUCUUCUACAUUAUUAAUUAAACCAGCCCUAAACAAAAGCCGAUGGUCAGUAAAAAACACACACACUUGACAUGCAAAAUACGUUUGGUAUUAACGUAAAAAAAAAAUCGCAAUAAGAAACUCACAGAGCGAUAUAAAGUGUAUCAGAAAAGGUGCGUUGAUUGUGAAGCGUGUGAAAGGAAGGGGAACUCAGUCUGCCGGAACCUUCGGUGAAGCCGUCAGGGAAUGAAAUAAGAGUUGCACGUCACGUGUCGUGCUGGUAUUCGGCUUUUGCGCAGUCUCUAGGCACCUGUUUCUGUUACGAGCGCCAUGUCUUGCGCCACUGACUAUGACGUGCAGUUCGCGUCGCGUUUCUCGGCGGAGGACGCGGAGUUCCAGCGGUCCGGCAGCGCGAGCCAGACCCGCCGCCCGUGCUCGAGGACUGGAGAGCGGCGCGCGGGCGCAGAGACAGGGACAGACGACUCCCGGAGCAGCGGCAGCACGAGCCCCGCGGGCAUCAUUUCCCGGACCGCCGCAAUGAACGGAACUCCGGCUCUCAGUCUCACGGCCAGAGGUCUCGUUACUGACCCACGGCGACGGCGUCUGACCUAGUGUGCGAUGUUUGUUUGAUCAUUCCUUUCCUUGGUGGAAUUACACUUCCCUUUGUAAAUAAAGCAGUUCAAAUUAUAUCCUGCCCUCAGUGUGUGUGUGUGUGUGUGUGAGAGAGAGAGAGAGAGAGAGAGAGAGUGUUUAGGUGUGUGUGUUCAUUGUGGCUGAUGUUCAUCUAUUUUAAAGCAGCAUUUUGAGCCUCGGGCA
rnacentral:lncRNA from 1 species